UACGUAGGGGGCAAGCGUUGUCCGGAAUCAUUGGGCGUAAAGAGCGUGUAGGCGGCUUGGUAAGUCCGCUGUGAAAGUCCAGGGCUCAACCCUGGAAAGCCGGUGGAAACUGUCAAGCUUGAGUCCGGAAGAGGCGAGUGGAAUUCCUGGUGUAGCGGUGAAAUGCGCAGAUAUCAGGAGGAACACCAAUGGCGAAGGCAGCUCGCUGGGACGGUACUGACGCUGAGGCGCGAAAGCGUGGGGGGCAAACAGG
rnacentral:rRNA from 1 species